AGAGUUUGAUCCUGGCUCAGGAUGAACGCUAGCGGGAGGCCUAACACAUGCAAGUCGAACGGGAUUGGUAGCAAUACCAUGAGAGUGGCGCACGGGUGAGUAACGCGUAUGCAACCUACCUAUAACAGAGGGAUAGCCCAUAGAAAUGUGGAUUAAUACCUCAUAGCUCUAUUAGAUCGCAUGAUUUGAUAGAUAAAACUCCGGUGGUUAUAGAUGGGCAUGCGUGACAUUAGCUAGUUGGUGAGGUAACGGCUCACCAAGGCAACGAUGUCUAGGGGUUCUGAGAGGAUGAUCCCCCACACUGGUACUGAGACACGGACCAGACUCCUACGGGAGGCAGCAGUGAGGAAUAUUGGUCAAUGGGCGCAAGCCUGAACCAGCCAUCCCGCGUGCAGGAUGAAGGCCCUAUGGGUCGUAAACUGCUUUUAUACACCAAGAAAAACUCCAAUGUGUUGGGGCUUGACGGUAGUGUAUGAAUAAGCAUCGGCUAACUCCGUGCCAGCCGCCGCGGU
rnacentral:rRNA from 1 species